GUCGAGCGGGGAGGGUAGCUUGCUACCUAACCUAGCGGCGGACGGGUGAGUAAUGCUUAGGAAUCUGCCUAUUAGUGGGGGACAACAUUCCGAAAGGAAUGCUAAUACCGCAUACGCCCUACGGGGGAAAGCAGGGGAUCUUCGGACCUUGCGCUAAUAGAUGAGCCUAAGUCAGAUUAGCUAGUUGGUGGGGUAAAGGCCUACCAAGGCGACGAUCUGUAGCGGGUCUGAGAGGAUGAUCCGCCACACUGGGACUGAGACACGGCCCAGACUCCUACGGGAGGCAGCAGUGGGGAAUAUUGGACAAUGGGCGAAAGCCUGAUCCAGCCAUGCCGCGUGUGUGAAGAAGGCCUUUUGGUUGUAAAGCACUUUAAGCGAGGAGGAGGCUACCGAGAUUAAUACUCUUGGAUAGUGGACGUUACUCG
rnacentral:rRNA from 1 species